rnacentral:sRNA from 1 species
CACUCAAAUUUUUCUGACGGUCUGUGGAUUAUAUUCUACAUUUCAUUUUCAACUUUCUUUCGUGGCAUCAAUAGUUUUUUAAUUUUCAUUGAGGAACAAAACAAUUGAUAAAAGCGAACAUUUGACGGAGUUGCUGAAGCGAGCAAGAAGUCACACACGGGCAGCGGAACAAAAAAAAAAA